rnacentral:rRNA from 1 species
GACGAACGCUGGCGGCGUGCUUAACACAUGCAAGUCGAACGGGCCUGUCUUCUUUUUUGGGGGGUGGGUUGAGUGGCGAACGGGUGAGUAUCACGUGAGUAACCUGCCCUUCGGUCCUGGAUAACCGCUUGAAAGGGCGGCUAAUACGGGGUGGUCCGGUUGGUCCGCAUGGGCUGGUCGGGAUAGAUUCACUGUUUUUGGUGUUUCGGCGGGGGAUGGGCUCGCGGCCUAUCAGCUUGUUGGUGGGGUGAUGGCCUACCAAGGCGGUGACGGGUAGCCGGCCUGAGAGGGUGGGCGGCCACACUGGGACUGAGAUACGGCCCAGACUCCUGCGGGAGGCAGCAGUGGGGGGUAUUGCACAAUGGGCGGAAGCCUGAUGCAGCGACGUUGCGUGAGGGAGGGAGGCCUUCGGGUUGUGAACCUCUGUUUCCGGUGGUGAAGGCCCUGUCCGUGUGGUGGGGUUGACGGUAGCCGGGGAUGAAGCGCCGGCUAACUACGUG